AACGUAGGAGACAAACGUUAUCCGGAGUUACUGGGCGUAAAGGGCGUGUAGGCGGGCUUUUAAGCCAGACGUGAAAUCCCCGGGCUUAACCUGGGAAUGGCGUUUGGGACUGGGAGUCUGGAGUACGGCAGAGGAGACUGGAAUUCCUGGUGUAGCAGUGAAAUGCGUAGAUAUCAGGAGGAACACCGAUGGCGAAGGCAGGUCUCUGGGCUGAUACUGACGCUCAUGCACGAAAGCGUGGGGAGCAAACAGG
rnacentral:rRNA from 1 species